rnacentral:rRNA from 1 species
CCUACGGGAGGCUGCAGUGGGGAAUAUUGGACAAUGGGCGAAAGCCUGAUCCAGCCAUGCCGCGUGUGUGAAGAAGGCCUUCGGGUUGUAAAGCACUUUCAGUGGGAAGAAAGCCUUGGGGCUAAUACCCUCGAGGAAGGACAUCACCCACAGAAGAAGCACCGGCUAACUCCGUGCCAGCAGCCGCGGUAAUACGGAGGGUGCGAGCGUUAAUCGGAAUUACUGGGCGUAAAGCGCGCGUAGGCGGUCUGAUAAGCCGGUUGUGAAAGCCCCGGGCUCAACCUGGGAACGGCAUCCGGAACUGUCAGGCUAGAGUGCAGGAGAGGAAGGUAGAAUUCCCGGUGUAGCGGUGAAAUGCGUAGAGAUCGGGAGGAAUACCAGUGGCGAAGGCGGCCUUCUGGACUGACACUGACGCUGAGGUGCGAAAGCGUGGGUAGCAAACAGGAUUAGAUACCCUGGUAGUC